GGCGGGAGCGGAGCUCCGCUGGUUCCUCAGCGGAACAGAGACCGGGGCCGGCCUCUCCCUCAGCGGGAAGCCCUGCGUCCCUCAGGCGCAGUAAACCGGUGCUGGUUGAGGCGGCUCCGCAGCUGCGCCUUCCCGCGCCAUGUCACGGCGGGGCUCCCUCAGGGCCGGUGCCGCUUCCCCCCGGCCCCGGCGCUGAGCGGCUGCGGCGGGAGGACGCGAGCGAGCCUGGCAGUGGACAAAGAAAAUGAAGUGACCAAGAUGGUGUGAUUUCAAAAAUGAAGAGUGAUCCUUAAGAGAAAAGCUGCCCAAGCAAGCUUCAGCCACCUUUCUAACUGUAAGCGGGGUGCUACAUCUAUUAUCUCCACGUGCAGCAAAUACCUUUUGAUGAAGCAGUACCGAUGCGACCAGGCUUGGGGGUGUGCCUAAACGCUGUCCAUGUAUUUCCCACUUUUCCAGAGGCCGUGGCAGAGCCGGAGGAGCCCCAGGCCAGGCUUUCCUCACACCAGGGGCUCUGCACGGGCGCUGAGAGCUGAUGAGCGUCUCUUUAGAACUUCCCUGUGUGAGGCACAGCAGAACCGUGAGCGUUCUCCUGAUGGCGUUUACUGGAACUGCCCGUCCCCUAGCAGCACUCCUGGGCCAUGGAUAUUGCUGCACUGAAGGAAGAACUGGCUCUCAGCUGUGGAAAACAUCGUUCCUUGAGCUGCAGAAUGUCUGACAAAUGUGGCAACUGAGAAGUGGUUGGCAGCAUCCACGUCUGAUGGAGAUUCCUAAAACUUGAUCAUCUGUGUUUUCUCUACAUGGUUAAGGAUUUACAUUUAAAAAAAACAAACCUAAAUAAAGAUGCC